ACCAAGUUCAACACCCUCUGGCAGCUGCAUUCGUUCAUCACUCUACUUUGGAGGUGAGAGAAUGACCAUGAGAGAGGAUUACACUUGUAUGCUGCUGCUCCUCACACUGUUUACCUCCGUUGUAUUGGCUCAUCCAUCAUUCCAUAAAGAGAAAUGGAAGACACUAUCAUUAGCUUCAGGCGCCGUGGCUCAGCACUCAAAAAGUGACAAGCUCACUGUUCAGUAAUUCUGAUCACAGAUGGCACUACCUCG